rnacentral:rRNA from 1 species
CACGUAGGGACCAAGCGUUGUCCGGAUUCAUUGGGCGUAAAGAGCUCGUAGGCGGUUCAGUAAGUCGGGUGUGAAACCUCCAGGCUCAACCUGGAGACGCCACCCGAUACUGCUGUGACUAGAGUCCAGUAGGGGAGCGUGGAAUUCCUGGUGUAGCGGUGAAAUGCGCAGAUAUCAGGAGGAACACCAGCGGCGAAGGCGGCGCUCUGGGCUGGAACUGACGCUGAGGAGCGAAAGCGUGGGGAGCGAA